ACGGAGACAUGGCAUAAGCCAGAAGGUGACGCUGACUAGAUUCUCAACUUGAACUGAUUUGCAUCUCAUUUU
rfam:Apaloderma vittatum contig17749, whole genome shotgun sequence.